rnacentral:rRNA from 3 species
UGGUGACUAUAGCAAGGAGGUCACACCUGUUCCCAUGCCGAACACAGAAGUUAAGCUCCUUAGCGUCGAUGGUAGUCGAACUUACGUCCCGCUAGAGUAGAACGUUGCCAGGCA